AUUGAACGCUGGCGGCAUGCCUUACACAUGCAAGUCGAACGGUAACGGGCCUUCGGGUGCCGACGAGUGGCGAACGGGUGAGUAAUGCAUCGGAACGUACCUUUCAGUGGGGGAUAACGUAGCGAAAGUUACGCUAAUACCGCAUAUUCUGUGAGCAGGAAAGCAGGGGAUCGCAAGACCUUGCGCUGAUUGAGCGGCCGAUGUCAGAUUAGCUAGUUGGUAGUGUAACGGACUACCAAGGCGAUGAUCAGUAGGGGGCGUGAGAGCGUGACCCCCCCANACGGGUACUGAGACACGGACCCGACUCCUACGGGAGGCAGCAGUAAGGAAUAUUGGUCAAUGCCCGGAAGGGUGAACCAGCCAUCCCGCGUGAAGGAUGAAGGGGCUCUGCCUUGUAAACUUCUUUUAGUAUGGGGGCGAAAAAAGGGGAUUUAUCCUCGACGUGACGGUACCAUAAGAAUAAGCACCGGCUAACUCCGUGCCAGCAGACGCGGUAAUGUAGUCGUGU
rnacentral:rRNA from 1 species